GACAGAGGUGCCGAGCGUUAGGCGGAAUCACUGGGCUUAAAGCGUGUGUAGGCGGGUCGUUAAGUGUCUUGUGAAAUCCCACCGCUCACCGGUGGAACGGCUGGGCAUACUGGCGACCUUGAGAGGCCUAGGGGCAGACGGAACAAGCGGUGGAGCGGUGAAAUGCGUAGAUAUCGCUUGGAACGCCGACGGCGAAAGCAGUCUGCUGGGGGCCUUCUGACGCUGAGGCACGAGAGCGUGGGGAGCGAACCGG
rnacentral:rRNA from 1 species